rnacentral:lncRNA from 1 species
GGGGCGCCUGUGGGAGCCGUGGAGGGAACUUUCCCAGUCCCCGAGGCGGAUCCGGUGUUGCAUCCUUGGAGCGAGCUGAGAGCUCGAGUACAGAACCUGCUAAGGCCAUCAAACCUAUUGAUCGGAAGUCAGUCCAUCAGAUUUGCUCUGGGCCGGUGGUACCGAGUCUAAGCACUGCGGUGAAGGAGUUAGUAGAAAACAGUCUGGAUGCUGGUGCCACUAAUAUUGAUCUAAAGCUUAAGGACUAUGGAGUGGAUCUCAUUGAAGUUUCAGGCAAUGGAUGUGGGGUAGAAGAAGAAAACUUCGAAGGCUUAACUCUGAAACAUCACACAUCUAAGAUUCAAGAGUUUGCCGACCUACCUCAGGUUGAAACUUUUGGCUUUCGGGGGGAAGCUCUGAGCUCACUUUGUGCACUGAGAUGCCAGACCUUAGAUUUUAUGAUGACUCCUCAACCGUUUAGAUCUCGGUUAUCUCAGAGGGAUCAUCAGCUUUUUAAGAAAAUUUUGAGAGAAAAGCAAGUGAAGAAAAGAGUAGUCAGUGCCCAACAUCACGGAUCUCUCACUGAACACACCAUGCCUGGUAUUCUCUCACAGUGAUGUCACCAUUUCUACCUGCCAUGUAUCGGCGAAGGUUGGGACUCGACUGGUGUUUGAUCACUAUGGGAAAAUCAUCCAGAAAACCCCCUACCCCCACCCCAGAGGGAUGACAGUCAGUGUGAAGCAGUUAUUUUCUACGCUACCUGUGCACCAUAAAGAAUUUCAAAGGAAUAUUAAGAAGGACUCCUAGAAGUACCCCACCCCACCCCUGCUCCUUGGAGGACAACGUGAUCACUGUAUUCAGCUCUGUCAAGAAUGGUCCAGGUUCUUCUAGAUGAUCUGCACAAAUGGCUCCUCUCCUCCUUCCUGAUGUCUGCCAUUAGCACUGGAAUAAAGUUCCUGCUGAAAAUCCA